rnacentral:misc_RNA from 1 species
UCUCCGUUGGUGAACCAGCGGAGGGAUCAUUACAGGAUGUGAUACUCCUAUAAACCACCGUGAACCUACCUAGACGUUGCCUCGGCGGGUGCCCGACGUAGUCGGGCGUCUAGCCCGCCGGCGGCCCCAAACUCUGUCUCUGCAGCGAUGUAUCUCGAGUAUACAGAAAUGAGUCAAAACUUUCAACAACGGAUCUCUUGGUUCUGGCAUCGAUGAAGAACGCAGC